rnacentral:rRNA from 1 species
UACGUAGGGUGCGAGCGUUAAUCGGAAUUCUGGCGUAAAGCGUGCGCAGGCGGCGCGUUAAGACAGGUGUGAAAGCCCCGAGCUUAACUUGGGAAUUGCGCUUGUGACUGGCGUGCUGGAGUGUGGCAGAGGGAGGUGGAAUUCCACGUGUAGCAGUGAAAUGCGUUGAGAUCGUGAGGAACGCCCGUGGCGAAAGCGGGCUCCUGGGCCCCGCCUGACGCUGAGACGCGAAGCCAGGGAGCGAACGGG